rnacentral:lncRNA from 1 species
ACCUUUACAGUAUUUCUUUUUCAGCCGUUCCCUUUCUGAUUGUUCCAAACUUCCUCUUCGAUUCCUGAUCAAAUGAUACCAGAAAAAAUCAAAAAUUAGUAAGAGAGAAGAAGGGGAUAAAGAAAGUAAAAAUAGAAACUAUUUUUAUUUUAUUUUUUUUGAAUUUUGUUUUUUUAAUAAAAAGAAAAACAACUAUGCUACCAAUCCCCGGCAACGGCGCCAAAAAUUGAUAGUCAAUUUUAAAGACCACGCAAUAGCACGUAUCUGGUAGGAUAGUGAUUACGAGUAUCGAUCCACAGGGAUUGGGGUACAGUUGUUUUUCUUUUAAAAAAAAUAAAAUAUUUAAAAAGGAAGAGUUAGUGAAGAAAAUUAAACUAAGGAAUUUUAAUAAAGCAAAAUGCAAUUAAAAAGAUAUCAGAUUGGGAGAACCUAGAGCAAGGAAUUCACCACUAACAUCGGAACAAGGAUUAAUUAAUUUUUAAUUUAUUCUUGGAUAAACAUGCAAAUUGGCUACAAGCCUAAUAAGCAUUUGAAUAAAAUUUCACAAAAGUAAUUUGGGCAUAAUCCAUCUUCAGUUGGCAUGAAAUGUCUACCCUAAUCUAAGGUGGCAGCACAUCGCAUCUUCCCUAAGCAUGGACUAUCUUAUAUUUACCUAGUGAUCAUGAAGAACAAUUGUAUAAACUUCACAUUUAAAAUCACAUAAAUUAAAUAUGAGAUGAAAUAAAAUAUUUAUUAGAAGCAAAAUAAGGUUUAUACAACUCCAAGAAUAGAAAUCAAAAAUAUAAAACCCUUGGCCCUUUGUUAGGGCUGCAUCCAGCCCUAGUGAGGAGAUCAACCUUUCAUGGAGUGGUGGACGGCAGCAGCAGCACAGCAGCGGGUUCCCAUCUUCAUAUGAAAAUCUUCUGCUUUCGUCUCACUCCCUCUAUUCCCAAAAUAUCACAAAGUAUUCUCUCCCUCUCCUUUUUUUUAUUCUUUUGUGGGAACUCCCUAAGAAGAGCCAAGCUCUUCUUCUCCCGGUGGGGAACUUGGCCUCUCAGGAGAGAUGGGAGAAGCCUCCCCCCCCCGGUGGGGGAAGAAGGAAUGGGACGGAAGAAUGCCUUUCUCUGAUCAGAAGUCCUCCCUUAUAUAGGCUGCAUACCUCCUUCUCCUCUUCCCUGCUUCACGUUGAGAUAAAGACGGAUCUAAGCGGAAUGAGGCUUAGAUUUGUUCGGGAUGCUCAUCCCGACUGGCCGCAGGAGAUCCGGACGUGGGAGAAGUUGAGCUGGGAGCUGAUGUGUUGAUUGCUGGAUCCUUGAAGCUCGCCGAACGGCUGGAUUGGUUAGUUUGAAGUCAGCUUGAUCCUCGGUUGCAGGGGAUGGCGAGGACGUGGACGUCAGGUUGAGCUUACAGCUGAGAUGGAGAUGCUGGAGGCUUGAAACCGGUGGAUAUGGCUGCGAACAGAGGAUCUUUGGAACGAAUUUGAUAGGUUGGUUCUCAGAUUAUUGGAGUCGGAAAGUUGUUUGGAUGGAUUCGGGAGAUUGAGCUGCUGAGAACGGAAGAAACGGCUGAAGCUCGUGAUGGUUUUGUUCCGCUGAAACAGGGGAUGCAUGGGAUUUGUUCCGAAGAGGAGAUAAGGAUGGAAUGCUGGAUUUGAAUGGGAUUGGCUGCAGAUGUUUGGGAUUAAUCCGGGAGUUUGGAUGAAGCUCACGGCUGGGAAUGGAUGUAAAGUGAUCCGGAAUAGGGGAAAUGAUGAGAAGAUAAGCUUGAAUCUUAUCCGUGGGAGAUAUGGAGAUGAAGCUAAUCCAAGCUUAUCCGGGUUGGGAGGAAAUCCUUGGACUGCGGACGAUGUGGACGCUGAUGUUGUUUGGCAUGCAUCGCAGGAGAAGAUGACGCUGGAUCCGUGGUUGUGAAGUGAUCUGGAUGAUUGGAAUUAAUCCAGGUUGAAUGAAGGGUUAAUCAGUUGGAAUGAGGGAGUUGUUCGUUUUGAAGUUUUGAAUUUGAUUCAGCUGGAAAGAGCCAACGGCUCUGUUCUUUGGAUUCGGAAGAAAGAUACGGGAGCUAGAAGAUAAGGAUGAAGUAGGGGAGGAUGCAUUUGGAUGUUGGGAAUUUCAUGAGAUCAAGCCGUGGACGAUGGGAUUCUAUUCUCAUCGGAAGAGGAGUUCUGUCUUGAGGUAGGGAAUAAUGUGGAUGAGGAGUUCUGUCUUGAGGUAGGGAAUAAUGUGGAUGAAACGAGCUGGGCGAUGGAGUUGGAUCCAUGCGGACAGUUUGAGCCGUGAUAAGAUGAUAUGAGCUGGGAGCAGGGGAUUUUGUUUGGAUGCUAGGAUCUAGCGGAAGAAAAGUGAAGGCUUGAACUCCGUUUUGUUAAGCUGGGAGGUGACGUGGAAGCUAGAAUGUUGCCCAUGGCUGAGAAGAGAUGAGGCUUUGGGAUCUGUGCAACUAAGAUGGUAUGCCUUGGGAUCUAAAAGACAAAUAAUUGAAGGGAUUUUAUUAAAAUAGGAGAAUUGGAUCAUGUGGAAAAAGAGUUGGAACGAGUGGAAAGAAAUUUAGGUGAACGUGUGAAGAGUCAGGAAUUAAUGGGAAGCACUGGAUUUUGGAGAAGAGUUCUUGGAGUCGACUCUAGAGGAUGUAAAAUGAUGCAAUGUAGUUUAGGCUUUACCUAAUUAAGCGUGACUUAACCUGCAUACAUUAAGCUCAAUCCGUAAAUAAGUAAAACUCGAAUUACCUUUAAUAAUUUAUUAAAAUGCAAUGAUAAAGGUAACACAAUUUU